rnacentral:rRNA from 1 species
UACGAGUGCCCCAAGCGUUAUCCGGAAUCAUUGGGCGUAAAGGGUGUGUAGGCGGCACUGUUAGUCUGCAGUCAAAACCCCCGGCUUAACCGGGGAUCCGCUGUGGAAACGGCAGUGCUCGAGGAUGCGAGGGGUGAAUGGAACUCAUGGAGUGGGGGUGAAAUCCGUUGAUAUCAUGGGGAACACCAAAAGCGAAGGCAAUUCACUGGCGCACUCCUGACGCUGAAACACGAAAGCGUAGGUAGCGAAUGGG